AGUGCCAGCCGGGCGGAGGGCGCGAGAUCUGGCUGCGGGCCGGCGGGCGGGGAGGGCGCGGAGGGCGCGGGCGCGCUGCGGCCCCUCCGCACCAUGUACACCAUCACCAAGGGACCCAGCAAGCUGGUCGCGCAGCGGCGCACAGGUCCCACGCAGCAGCAGGUGGAGAGCAGGCUCGGCGAGCUCCUGAAAUGCCGGCAUCUCGCGCCGCCGACCCUGCAGCCCCCACGGGCUCAGCCGCCGGGACCCUGGCCCCUGUCGAGUGCCCCUCUCAACUGAGGAGGAAACCCCAGCGGCGGUGGGGCACCUGAGCCCAGGAUGGCGAGCAGGCCGGCGGGACCGCGAGUGCCUGGCGGAGUGGCACGUGCAGCCCAGGACUCCCGGCUCCCACCUCCUGCUUCCAGGGCCGAGGCUCGUGUUCAAUCGGGUGAAUGGCCGGCGGCCACCUGCCACAUCCCCAUCCCUCAAGGGAACCCAGGAGACCUACACACUGGCCCACGAGGAGAACGUCCGAUUUGUGUCCGAAGCCUGGCAGCAAGUGGAGCAGCAGCUGGGUGGUGGCCCAGCCGGUGAGAGCGGGCCGAGGCCAGUGCAAUACGUGGAGAGGACCCCCAACCCCCGGCUGCAGAACUUCGUACCCAUCGACCUGGACGAGUGGUGGGCACAGCAGUUCCUGGCCAGGAUCACCAACUGCUCCUAGUCGCAGCUUUGGAAGGAAUGCUGCCCGUGCAGGGCCUGGCCCUGCCCCACGCUGGACCCUCUGCCAGGAGAGGACCACGGCGCCCUGUCCAACCCCUGCGGUGGGCUGUGCUUCACCCUGGGCCUGGCUAGGAGCCGGCCACACCUGAAGUGCCAGAAUUUGGACUUUUGCUCCCGCUGACCCCUUGGCCCAGCUGUUCCAGGCUGCCAGAGGCCAGGGGUUGAAACUGACCUCAGUCCUGCUCACUGUGCCCGGGGACCAGCCUGUGGGGCUGGCAGGGAGGAGCUCCAGGCUAAUAAAGUUGAGAAACUGCC